GCAAGUAUAGUUUAACCCAAACAUUAGACUGUGAUCCUAAAAAUAGAAGUUAGACCCUUCUUACCUGCC
rnacentral:tRNA from 4 species